rnacentral:lncRNA from 1 species
CAGUUACUAGAAAAUGGAUUAAAAUUAAAUGAACAUAUUGCUUUGUUUGUUUGUUUUUAAUGAAAGCUGUUUUUUCCAAUUAGCUCCCUAUUUGAUCAAAGAUUGCAUCUCAGUUAAUUGUAUGUUUUUGCCCAGUUCAUGAAUCUUUCUGUGAGAUAACAUAAAAGAUAAUGGGUCAAAUUUUGUUUACAUUACGACCCAUGUGAACUCCAUGGUAAAGCACACACAUACCUCUUUCCCAGGGCAAAAGCAGUGCAUGGAAAUAUGCCUGUAAACUUAAUUAAUUGCACAACAGUGGGUAUGCAGCUAUUUGAUGUUGGCAUGUCUCACUUUUUCAGGAGAAUUUGUAUGCCCAGCUCCAAUUGACAUUCAGUCUUUUCAGUCACCUACUGGGUGAACUUUAUAGCCUUUGCUAGAGGCAAGAGAUUGCCCACAAGUUGCCCGUGCUACCUGUUUUUAUCCUGAGUGCCACGUGCGUAAUGGAGAAGCUAUGCUUUGAACUGUCUCAGCUGACAAAUCUCACAGCCAUCUUUCAAAUGCUCUUGUGCUUUGUUUUGUUUUGCAGUGCUGUGCAAGACUUCAGACUGUCCCUCUUCCAACCACGUUCAUGAAAAGGUGAGAGCACUUUGUGAGGCGUGGCUGAUACCAGCAUUGCCCACAAACCUCAUCACUGCCAAAGUAGUCAUGGAUCUGCCUGUGAUAUCCCCAAUGGGCUUUGUUACCAGGACCAGUCUCCAGCUGCUGUGUCUCUUAGAGACCAUCGCUGUCUGUUGGUGUGAUGGCUGUCUUAAACAGAAAAGAGUUGGUGCUGGGGUACAGAACUUUCUAACUGUGUGGUGCUUGUUGGUGUAUCCAGCCAUUUAAAAACCUUGAAGCAGGUACCCGAUACAUGGGCAUGGGAACUUAGGAGGCUUUGUCUAAGCCAGAGUCACUGAAGACCUUGGAUUCAUACUGCCAAGUCCUGGCUGUUGGGCACUGGCAACGAUAAGCCUCCCCGGAGCCUCUGAAAGUGUAUCCUGUACUUUAUCCUGUACUUCCCUCAUAAAUAAAUCCGUUGUGAAAUUAGUGCUUAAAAUGUGU